UGGGGAAUUUUGGACAAUGGGGGCAACCCUGAUCCAGCAAUGCCGCGUGAGUGAAGAAGGCCUUCGGGUUGUAAAGCUCUUUUGUCAGGGAAGAAACACCGGCUCUAACACAGUCCGGGAAUGACGGUACCUGAAGAAUAAGCACCGGCUAACUACGUGCCAGCAGCCGCGGUAAUACGUAGGGUGCAAGCGUUAAUCGGAAUUACUGGGCGUAAAGCGUGCGCAGGCUGUUUUGUAAGUCAGAUGUGAAAUCCCUGAGCUCAACUUAGGAACUGCGUUUGAAACUACAAGACUAGAAUAUGUCAGAGGGGGGUAGAAUUCCACGUGUAGCAGUGAAAUGCGUAGAUAUGUGGAGGAAUACCAAUGGCGAAGGCAGCCCCCUGGGAUAACACUGACGCUCAUGCACGAAAGCGUGGGGAGCAAACAGG
rnacentral:rRNA from 1 species